CACAACUGUUAUAUGUUGCAGACAGAAAGUCAGUCACCACGACCAGCUGACAGUUCUGCACCAGAAACAGGCGUUGCUGGGAAGUACAUAAAGAAGAGGAUGAUGACGUGGUCACAUCUGUGGUUGAGCCUGGAGGACCAUGAAUGCCCCCCUGCUGUGGUUACAUGCUUUCUGUCCGUCAAGGGGGAGCCUGCUCACGUUCAGCCUGAUUUAUUCUUUAAUGUGACAGCCAAAAAACAGGCAGGGAAACUCUCUGGUUUGUUCUUCUUUUGAAAAUCAGAAUACUCUCACAUAAUCACAAUACAUCCACAUCCGCAUACAGAUUCAAUAUUUUACUUUUGUUGGGCUUCUCAUGAGCAGUCUCAUUGUCUGACACUGACUUUAUUAAAAACAUGACUGAUGGAGUUAAAGGUUUUAUUUUUUCUUUACAUUUUAUAGUUAACAAAUUGCAAAAAAACAUUACAGAUGCAGGUUUUAGAGAACAUUUUAUUCCCAGAGAGAACACUUGUUUGUCAAUACAUAAAAACCUACAAUACACUGAUUAUAAAUACCCUGUUUCAUUAAAUAGAAAUAGUACAGAUUAUUUUACAGACAGGAUCCUCUCUCUUUUAAAAUGACUAAAAGACCCUUCAUCUUCAGUCAAUGGGGAUCCUGUAAAGUGAUUUUUAACAUGCAGGAGACAUAGCAGUAAGCUGAACAUGAAGUUGAGAGCUCCACCCAAUGAUUUUAAGAACAAAAACAGGAAGUGAAAUUGUUCUAAUGUGUAGUUUUUGUUUAGGAAAUACUGCUGUGUCUUCUUUUGGCUUGCUUGUCCUCAUUUCCUUAGUUCUCCUUUUACGCUGAAGGCUGAUUUCAUCUUAGUUUCUGAUUUCUGAUUUUCUUAUUCUUUGGGCUCUCAAGAAAAACAGAUAUUGAUUUUUCAAGGGUUAAAAAAUGUCAAAUAAAAACAUGUAUA
rnacentral:lncRNA from 1 species